UACGUAGGCAGCGAGCGUUGUUCGGAGUUACUGGGCGUAAAAGGGUGUGUAGGCGGUUGUUUAAGUUUGGUGUGAAAUCUCCCGGCUCAACUGGGAGGGUGCGCCGAAUACUGAAUGACUUGGAGUGCGGGAGAGGAAAGUGGAAUUCCUGGUGUAGCGGUGAAAUGCGUAGAUAUCAGGAGGAACACCGGUGGUGUAGACGGCUUUCUGGACCGGUAACUGACGCUGAGACACGAAAGCGUGGGUAGCAAACAGG
rnacentral:rRNA from 1 species